rnacentral:rRNA from 1 species
AUUGAACGCUGGCGGCAGGCUUAACACAUGCAAGUCGAACGAUGAUUAUCUAGCUUGCUAGAUAUGAUUAGUGGCGGACGGGUGAGUAACAUUUAGGAGUCUGCCUAGUAGUGGGGGAUAGCUCGGGGAAACUCGAAUUAAUACCGCAUACGACCUACGGGUGAAAGGGGGCGCAAGCUCUUGCUAUUAGAUGAGCCUAAAUCAGAUUAGCUAGUUGGUGGGGUAAAGGCCCACCAAGGCGACGAUCUGUAACUGGUCUGAGAGGAUGAUCAGUCACACCGGAACUGAGACACGGUCCGGACUCCUACGGGAGGCAGCAGUGAGGAAUAUUGGACAAUGGGGGCAACCCUGAUCCAGCCAUGCCGCGUGUGUGAAGAAGGCCUUUUGGUUGUAAAGCACUUUAAGCAGGGAGGAGAGGCUAAUGGUUAAUACCCAUUAGAUUAGACGUUACCUGCAGAAUAAGCACCGGCUAACUCUGUGCCAGCAGCCGCGGUAAUACAGAGGGUGCGAGCGUUAAUCGGAAUUACUGGGCGUAAAGCGAGUGCAGGUGGCUCAUUAAGUCACAUGUGAAAUCCCCGGGCUUAACCUGGGAACUGCAUGUGAUACUGGUGGUGCUAGAAUAUGUGAGAGGGAAGUAGAAUUCCAGGUGUAGCGGUGAAAUGCGUAGAGAUCUGGAGGAAUACCGAUGGCGAAGGCAGCUUCCUGGCAUAAUAUUGACACUGAGAUUCGAAAGCGUGGGUAGCAAACAGGAUUAGAUACCCUGGUAGUCCACGCCGUAAACGAUGUCUACUAGCCGUUGGGGUCCUUGAGACUUUAGUGGCGCAGUUAACGCGAUAAGUAGACCGCCUGGGGAGUACGGCCGCAAGGUUAAAACUCAAAUGAAUUGACGGGGGCCCGCACAAGCGGUGGAGCAUGUGGUUUAAUUCGAUGCAACGCGAAGAACCUUACCUGGUCUUGACAUAGUGAGAAUCCUGCAGAGAUGCGGGAGUGCCUUCGGGAAUUCGCAUACAGGUGCUGCAUGGCUGUCGUCAGCUCGUGUCGUGAGAUGUUGGGUUAAGUCCCGCAACGAGCGCAACCCUUUUCCUUAUUUGCCAGCGGGUUAAGCCGGGAACUUUAAGGAUACUGCCAGUGACAAACUGGAGGAAGGCGGGGACGACGUCAAGUCAUCAUGGCCCUUACGACCAGGGCUACACACGUGCUACAAUGGUAGGUACAGAGGGUUGCUACACAGCGAUGUGAUGCUAAUCUCAAAAAGCCUAUCGUAGUCCGGAUUGGAGUCUGCAACUCGACUCCAUGAAGUCGGAAUCGCUAGUAAUCGCAGAUCAGAAUGCUGCGGUGAAUACGUUCCCGGGCCU